CUCGAAUUGGAAUAAAAAGGAGACGCUCGAUCGCGAUGAUCAUUCGUCGAUCGCCAUCGCUGCCUAGCUGUGUUUUAGAGAUACUGGUGACGCUCUGGCGAUCUACUGUACGUCCUUCACAAUGAGUCUCACCGCUUGGAGACUGGCUUGCCAACCAUAUCCAUCGUCGGUGGAACUCUGGCCAAUGCCGGUGAAUUUCCUCACUUGGCCGCUAUGGAUUUGAAUGGAUUUUUGUGUAGUGGAACUUUGAUUGGAGAAAAACAUAUCUUGACAGCGGCUGAAUGUGUUUAUGGGUAAACUGAUGAACACCCUAUACUAUCCAUAAUAAGGAAAUAUUUCAACAACAAUUUCAAUUUUCAAUGUAUGCUAUGUUUUUUUUUCGAACCGUGCGUUCCUUUUCGCAUGGAUGCACUCUGAUUUUAGUAAUUCCGAUCCUUCAGGCUUCGUUGUGAAUGUUAACACGUUGUCAAUUUUUGGUGGAGAGAACGGCACGGUUAAAACAGGAGUAUCGUCCGUUGUUAUACACGAAGCUUACGACUAUGCAACUAACUGACGGGUAUCCAAUUUGCCACUAUUCUGACGGACGACGCAACGACAGAACAGCCAACAGCGGAGCCUAUUACGGAUGAGCCUACGGAUGCACCUACGAAACUGCCAACAGAACCCACAACUACCAAAAAACCGAUAAC